rnacentral:rRNA from 1 species
UGCAAGUCGAGCGCUUCCCUUCGGGGAGGAGCGGCGGACGGGUUAGUAACGCGUGGGAACAUACCCUUUUCUACGGAAUAGCCUCGGGAAACUGAGAGUAAUACCGUAUACGCCCCUCGGGGGAAAGAUUUAUCGGUGAAGGAUUGGCCCGCGUUAGAUUAGAUAGUUGGUGGGGUAACGGCCUACCAAGUCUACGAUCUAUAGCUGGUUUGAGAGGAUGAUCAGCAACACUGGGACUGAGACACGGCCCAG